rnacentral:tRNA from 1 species
GAGGGUAUAGCUCAGUGGUAGAGCAUGUGCUUAGCAUGCACAAGGUUCUGGGUUCAAUCCUCAGUACCCCCA